GACGAACGCUGGCGGCGUGCUUAACACAUGCAAGUCGAACGGACAGGCCCUGCUCUUGUGGGGUGCUCGAGUGGCGAACGGGUGAGUAAAACGUGAGUAACCUGCCCUUGUCUUUGGGAUAACUUCUGGAAACUGGGGCUAAUACCGGAUAGGAGCUCCUGAUGCAUGGUGGGGGUUGGAAAGUUUCGGCGGUUGGGGAUGGACUAGCGGCUUAUCAGCUUGUUGGUGGGGUAGUGGCUUACAAAGGCUUCGACGGGUAGCCGGCCUGAGAGGGGGACCGGCCACAAUGGGACUGAGAGACGGACCAGACGCCUACGGGAGGCAGCAGUGGGGAAUAUUGCACAAUGGGCGGAAGCCUGAGGCAGCAACGCCGCGUGCGGGAUGACGGCCUUCGGGUUAUAAACCGCUUUCUCCUGUGACGAAGCGUGAGUGACGGUAAUGGGUAAAGAAGCACCGGCUAACUACGUG
rnacentral:rRNA from 1 species